rnacentral:rRNA from 1 species
UACGAAGGGGGCUAGCGUUGCUCGGAAUUACUGGGCGUAAAGGGAGCGUAGGCGGAUAUUUAAGUCGGGGGUGAAAGCCCAGGGCUCAACCCUGGAACUGCCUUCGAUACUGGAUAUCUAGAGUAUGGGAGAGGUGUGUGGAACUCCGAGUGUAGAGGUGAAAUUCGUAGAUAUUCGGAAGAACACCAGUGGCGAAGGCGACACACUGGCCCAUUACUGACGCUGAGGCUCGAAAGCGUGGGGGAGCAAACAGG